rnacentral:rRNA from 1 species
GACGGAGGGUGCAAACGUUGCUCGGAAUCACUGGGCGUAAAGGGCGUGUAGGCGGGUAGAUAAGUCGGGCGUGAAAUCCCUAGGCUCAACCUAGGAACUGCACUCGAAACUGUUUAUCUUGAGUGCCGGAGAGGAAAGCGGAAUUCCUGGUGUAGAGGUGAAAUUCGUAGAUAUCAGGAGGAACACCAGUGGCGAAGGCGGCUUUCUGGACGGUAACUGACGCUGAGACGCGAAAGCGUGGGGAGCAAACAGG